rnacentral:rRNA from 1 species
GAAUCCCGUCUUUGGCAUGGAUGACCGGGGCUUUUGUGAUGCGCUCUCGAAGAGUCGAGUUGUUUGGGAAUGCAGCUCAAAAUGGGUGGUGAACUCCAUCUAAAGCUAAAUAUUGGCGAGAGACCGAUAGCGAACAAGUACCGUGAGGGAAAGAUGAAAAGCACUUUGGAAAGAGAGUGAAACAGUACGUGAAAUUGUUGAAAGGGAAACGCUUGAAGUCAGUCGCGUCGGCCGAGACUCAGCCUUGCCUCGGCUUGGUGUACUUCUUGACCGACGGGUCAGCAUCAAUUUUGCCCCUUGGAUAAUGGCGAGGGAAAUGUGACACCUUUAUAGGUGUGUUAUAGCCUCUCGUCGCAUGCAAGGGUCGGGAUUGAGGAACUCAGCACGCGCCUUCGGGCGUCGGGGCCUUGCCCACGAUACGUGCUUAGGAUGUUGGCGUAAUGGCUUUAAACGACCCGUCUUGAAACACGGACCAAGGAGUCUAACAUGCCCGCGAGUGUCCGGGUGGAAAACCCGUGCGCGCAAUGAAAGUGAAAGUUGGGACCUCUGUCGCGGAGGGCACCGACGCCCGGACCAGAGCUUCUGCGACGGAUCUGCGGUGGAGCGUGUAUGUUAGGACCCGAAAGAUGGUGAACUAUGCCUGAAUAGGGUGAAGCCAGAGGAAACUCUGGUGGAGGCUCGUAGCGAUUCUGACGUGCAAAUCGAUCGUCAAAUUUGGGUAUAGGGGCGAAAGACUAAUCGAACCAUCUAGUAGCUGGUUCCUGCC